GGCAAGGAGGUAAAACCCU
rnacentral:misc_RNA from 15 species